rnacentral:rRNA from 1 species
UACGUAGGGUCCGAGCGUUGUCCGGAAUUAUUGGGCGUAAAGGGCUCGUAGACGGUUCGUCACGUCGGGAGUGAAAACUCGGGGCUUAACCCCGAGCCUGCUUCCGAUACGGGCAGACUAGAGGUAGGCAGGGGAGAGCGGAACUCCUGGUGUAGCGGUGGAAUGCGCAGAUAUCAGGAAGAACACCAACGGCGAAGGCAGCUCGCUGGGACGGAACUGACGCUGAGGCGCGAAAGCGUGGGGAGCGAACAGG